rnacentral:lncRNA from 1 species
GCGCGUGCCGGUCACGUGGGGCAUGGUGGCUGAGUUCCCCGUAACAGUAGCCCCCCACUUCCGAGCCUGGAACCAGGAGGGGAACGGGUGAAGGGAGUGAUGCUUCGAGAUUGCCGCCAUCCCUCGGAAAGGCGCGCGCGCUUCGAGCUCCCCGCCUCCUUUAUGGCGUAUAGCGGUUGUCGCUGAUCUGGCAGUCUGCGGAUUUCGGCGGACAUCCUUCCUUAAUGGCGUCGAUUCGCCUUUGAGGCGCGAGCGAUCCUUCGGCAGCCAGGCGUCCUCUGGCGUCACCGAGGCGUCACCCGCCUUUCCGCCUAUUUAACCGGGGGCCCUCCCCCGUCCGCUUUUCUCUUCGCAGGCAUCUUCGAGUUUCUCCCUUGCGCUGCUGUCGUUGCCGUCGGACUGUUCGCUCGCUCCUCCUUUGACGCCCUCGGAGCCGUUCUUCCUUCCCUUCCGGUGAGUUGCCCCAUUCUUCAAUUUAGGGCUCUCCAUACUUUCUCCUUCCGUAUUAGUGUACUCCAGUCGUUCCGGUCCUUUCCCCCUUCUUGGCCCCGUC